UUUCCCAUUUUCCCCCAAAUCUCCAAAACUAACCUAAAGCCAAAAUCCCUUCACCUUUGUUUCGAAGACAGCCACCCUAAUCGGAGCUGCAGACGGCGGAGGUGGUCGUCUUGUCUGCGUCGAGGCUGGAGUCGCGGGUCGUGGGUCACCGUCGCUCGUCGUCUUCUCUGCUUCCAGGGUCGCUCACCGUCGCUCGUCCAUCACUGGUCGUCUUCUCUGCUUCGUGCUCGCUUACCGUCGCUGGUCGUCUUCUCUCCUUCGAGUUUCAAUACAUUAAUCAAUGGAAGAGCUUAGUGGCAUCAAAUAAUGGAGAGAGGCAUGAGGAUAUAAUCAUUGUAGUAGGGAUGAAAAAAGUGAUAUGUGAGUCUCAAUCUCAAAGCUAAGGAAGGAGUGGGUGCAAAAAGUAUUAAACAAGAAAAGUUAAGAGGAACAGGGACAAUGGAGGGAUAUAACAAAGGGAAGCACAAAAUGGAUAGGAUUGACGGAAAAAGAGGGGGUGCAGCCACAAUAUGCAAGGAGUUAUUUUAAUAUGGAAAAUUUUGUCAUGUGUUUUAAGUUUUGUUGAUUGGUAUGAGGAUUACUUUUGGUGUGUUUUAGUUGUUGGGUUUUAGGAUAUUUUUUUGUGUGUGAUUUUGUUUUCUUUAUGAUUUUUUAUUAUUCUUCAUGGGGACGCGGAAGGAAGUGAUUGAUAAAUCAUACACAUUGUCUCUCUUAUUUUGGAUCA